GUGAUCGGCAGACAGUUAGGUACUCUAAUCUAUGCUUGCUGCAGCGUCCCCCAGCCAUGCCAGCCGCGUCUUCUGUGUCUUCAGGAAUUGGGGGUAAAGAGGAGUGUCACGAUACGGGCUGUAGUUUGUAAUCCGAGUGAGGACAUGCGCAGCAGCAAGCAGUCUCUGCCCCAGCCUCUGCAGCGACACCACCAGCCAGCAAGCCCCAACCGCAGAAUGGGAGCUUGGGAGUGGGUUCCACUGUAGCUAAGGCAUACGGGGCCUCAAAGCCGUUUGGAAAGCCUGCUGGAACUGGCCUGCUGCAGCCUACAAGUGGGACACAGUCCAAAGUGGUACCCAUCGCCAGCCUCACCCCUUACCAAUCCAAGUGGACGAUUUGUGCCCGUGUCACCAACAAAAGU
rnacentral:lncRNA from 1 species